rnacentral:rRNA from 1 species
GCACGGGUGCGUAACACGUUGCAUCUACCUCUAAGGUGGGAAUAGCUCACGAAAGGUGAAUUAAUACCGCAUAAUAUUGUGAAGUAGCAUUACUUUACACUUAAACCUACGGGGGUUAGAGAUGAGCAUGCGUUCGAUUAGCUAGUUGGUGAGGUAACGGCUCACCAAGGCAACGAUCGAUAGGGGGUCUGAGAGGAUGAUCCCCCAACUGGUACUGAGACACGGACCAGACUCCUACGGGAGGCAGCAGUAAGGAAUAUUGGACAAUGGGGGCAACCCUGAUCCAGCCAUGCCGCGUGAAGGAUUAAGGCCCUAUGGGUCGUAAACUUCUUUUAUACGAGACAAAACCCCUCUACGUGUAGAGGGUUGAUGGUACUGUAAGAAUAAGGGUCGGUAACUUCGUGCCACCAGCCGGGUAAUACGAAGGACCCGACGUUAUCCGGAUUAUGGGUUAGGGUCCGAGCGAUCUGAUCAGGGAAUCUCCUUAUUGUAAACUACCAUUUGAUACUGCAGGGUCUUGGAGUGUUCGUCGAAGUAGCUGGAAUAAGUAGUGUAGGGGGAANGCUUAGCAUUUCUUCAGAACACCAUUGGCGAAGGGCG